rnacentral:lncRNA from 1 species
GUCCCUCUAGAGCUCCGCUCUGCGAAAUGGUUGGACUAGGAGGUAGUCUUCUUCCAGUCUGGGAAAGUAAAGUGGUGGAGAGGGUAGCCAGGGAAGUGCCAAGAGAGCAUCUAAGAGCCAAGAGGAGAGGUGAUGCCCCACUCUCCAGGGAGAGCUCCUUGGGCUGGCAGACCAGCCCUUUGUCAGAGCACCGAAGAGGCAACGGGACCCGGCAUGAGGCGUGGGGAGUAGAGCGACAGACGGAGAGAGGCGUGAGGACACAAAGGAGAAAGCACACCAUUGCCAAGACCCCAAGGAAGGAGGAUGGAGAGGCUGGCAGUCCUGCCUGGCCCCCAGCCAGUUUCCUGCUAAAGAUGGCCAAAUCCUCUUGCCUGGUCUGUAUAUGUGACUGUGCGGGCGUGGCGGGGGAGGGCCGGGCUUGCUUGCGGAGCUGGGAUCUGGAAUGGGAAGGGCCCCUUUCUGUGGAUCCCCUUUGGACUCUCCACUCUAACAAGUGAGGUGUCUGGUGUUCUCCCUGGUGCCCUCUCCUCCUCCCCCUCCCCCCCCAGCCCUCUUUCAUCGCUAUCGCCACCUGGGUCCUACCGCUUGGCACCCAACCAACUAGAUGCCGCCACGCUUGGCAGCGCUGCACUGGCACGUGAACGAUGUCUCAGAUCCUGGCACUGCGGCAAACCCAAAGCCGCCAGACGUGCUCACGACUGCCACUUGGUGGCGGUGAGAGGGGGUUGGCGCACACAGGUGUGUUGGGCACCGGGCGGAGCCCUCCUGGGGAGUGGCAUGAGGACACCUUCAACAAUGGGGCUACAUGCCAACCCCAACCCACCUUCCUCCCAACCAGACACCACCCUCCUAUCCCCGCCGUUCCCAAGAAAGGGAUUUAGAUGGUGACACUGAGUAUUUGGGCAGAAUUCCAAGGGAAGCUGGAGCCCAGGGAGACAAGGACACAUUCGAAAGUCACACCCAACACUUCAGGCCAAUGCCCUCUCUGGGCAGCAAAGCCAGAAAAAAAAAAUCCUAGGAGGGUGAAAUGAGAUGCUGGAGAGAGGCCAACCGGCUGUGUCAUCACAAAGAUGGUGCUGGAAGAGACUGGAAGGGAAGGAGCAGGGGAGCCCCUCAGGCCUUGCUGUGGGGUGGUUGGUGCCUGUGUGUAUUUCAUUCUGCCCUGUGCCUUGUGAUUGGCUGAGCUAUGGGUUGAGUCAAACUGGUUCUUUCUCCCUUGUUAAAAGGCCCAUAUUCAAUAGCAGUCCUAGAAAGAGAGAGGUGCUCUAGGCCUUGAGCUACAGGCAGGUGUUGGGAAGACAAAGGUGCCUUGGACUUGCCCUUCCAGAAAGACCAUCCAAGGAGAACUGGGGUUUAGGAAUUUCUCCAUGGCUCAUGGAGGGGACAGAUUUCCCUCUUUGAAAUCCACCCCAGGAAGAGAGACCACGGAUCAGCAAUGUGUCCUCCCUGUUAGAAAGGUAGGCCCCCAGGAGCAGAACGCCUGCAGCUGGUAACACA